rnacentral:rRNA from 1 species
GUCUCUAAGCAACGGAUGUCUUGGCUCCUCACACGAUGAAGAACGUGGCAUAAUGUGUUAAGUAACCGGAGUUGCAAACAUCAUGACAGGUUAAUCUUUGAAUGCAAAUUGCGCUUACCCGGGCUUCGGCCGAGGAGCAUGCGUGUAACAGUACAA